rnacentral:lncRNA from 1 species
CUCAAGUGCCAGAUGCCUGCGAGGCCACCCUGGAGAGUGACCAGAGCUUUGGGAAGGGCCAUCCCACCCGCUGCAGGACAUUCUUGUUUACCUCCUAAGAAAAACACAAAACCAAAAGCCCGUGUGGGUGGAAUUUCAAGUCCUGGGCUUUCUCAGUGGGCUGCUCUCCCCGCAGUCCUCUUCCUCCCUCUCCGGGGCCUGCUCUCUCCCUCUUUGUUGCCAAGCUCAGACGUCGCUGCUGAAACCCAGCCCAGCGUCCGCGAAGCCCGGAAACUUCCAGCUCGGCGACUGUGCACAAAGUUGGGGUGGCGAGGCCAGGGUGACAGCAGCGCCCCGGCCGGCCGCGGCGGCGACCGCGUCUGCACUCGGCUGGGGCUGCGCGCCGGGACCCGGGACGGUCUGCGGGGCCGGACCUGAACUUGACCGCGAGUGCCCGCGCCGCGGGGCCUCUGGGACCACCUGGUAAGCGCUCGCCCUGGCACUAGCCGGCUGGGCCGCGGCGGCAGCGGGAGGGGGCGUCCCGGGGGCGCUUGGGGACGCGGGGCGCGCAGCCCCGCCGUGGGCGCCCCUGGCCUUAGCGAACAAAGGCUGCGGAUGGGGCAGGGACUCCUCCCGACAUUUUCCUCCCCGCGGCAGGGCAGGCGCGGGUGCGCCGCCAGGGCUCUUAAAGGGGAAAGAUCACGCCGGCGGCCUCUCGCUGCUUUCCUGCACAUGGCCCUGCUUUGGCUGCAGGGAGGAAGGAGUGGGCACCGGUGCCACAAGCGCCCAGGUGUUAACCCGCCCAGCCCCGGCUGCCAGACACUGCGUGAACAGCCAGGGCCUGCCUGGGGUGAGGCCCCUCCAUGAACUGGCCGUCCAGCUGCCUCCUCAGGUUGCAACAGGAACGUGGGCCCUGGUGAACGUUGCGCCUGCUCUGCCCCCACAGCCUGGUGACACCCUGCCCUACCCUGGGCGACCCUGAUAGUAGAGCCUGGGGCUGCCAGCAUUCUGUCUGCUCUGCUUGGGGCAGCCACAAUGCCAAGUGGCCAUGGUGGGUGCUGGGCACACACAGCAGCUGUGCACAGGGACUAGAAGAAAGAGCCCUGGCCUGCAGGGUCUGGCCCUGGGGAAAGGUGUGGGGCACUGCUGUCUCCCUCCAGCCCCUGCCAACCUGCCCAGACCCAGCCCACCCUCCAGCUGGCUUCAUUUCACCCAUCUUCCUCAGCUUGCUGAGACAAGAUGCCUGCCCAUGGGAGUGGCAUGGUCCCUGGGGGGCACCCAUGGGAUAGAAAGGCACCCCACUGUGAGCAGUGGCAAACCCCUAAAAGCUCCUAGAUCUCUGUUCCUGUCCCAGGCCUCUAGCCCAGGGAGCCUCUGAGUUUAACCAGGUGCCUGUAACCCCUCGAAGUCCACCUGGUUGUUGACCCGGUCCCCAGCCUUCCAGAGGCCAUCAGUAAUCUUCGCUUUCUGGGACCCUAGCGUCCUUGGUGAGAAGCUGCAGGACCCGUGGGGGAGCUCCCAGGCAAGAGUAAAGGUACCUGGCCCUGGGGUCCCAGUGGGUCGCUCACAGUGCCCCAGAUUCUCCUGUAAGUUCUCAAACGGGGAGAAGCCAGGGGGCUCAAGGGGAGCCUGCAGGGGAAGGGAGCCAUGGGCCUGCCCUAAGGGAAGGCCAUGCAGCUCAGAGAGGUGUAGCUCAGAGAGGGCAGAGCCCUUGGGCUGCCAGAGCACCAACUUCAGAUGGAUAUCCAGAUUUGUACAUGGGAUGGCCAAAAUCUGAAAGCACUGCAGGACUAGGAAACACAUGCUUGGAUUGACCCUGCCCCUGCCCCCAGGUUGCAAGCCCCGUGUAUGGGGGAGGUGGCUCAUGUUAAAAGCAGGCUUCCUAGUGACCCCAGCCCCAGCCAAGGCCUAGAGAGGAAAGCCCCAGGCAUCUGGGGAGCCAGAGGGAGGGUGUGUACUUCAUCACCCAAUAACACAGGGAAGUUGAGCUGUCAGGUAACCCAUGCGUACUUGCUUCUCAGAGGCCAGAUUUAUUUAUUUCAGGAGAUUUGAAGUUAAAAUGAGAUACCUUCCCUUCUCUGGCCCCAAGUCCUCUCGAGCAGCUUCCAUGUCCACUGAGGCAGUGCCUACAGGGAUCAGUGUGUAAUGAAGGAAAGACAGGAUGCAGAAAAUGAGCCUGAACUUGAAGUUGUUUGGGGUCCCACAUGGUGAGCCCCAGUGGGUGGCAAGUACCAUGGCCCUGCAGAGAGAUGGGCCUGCCCCAUAUCAAGUAUCACCUCGCCUCUCUGAGCCUCAGUUUCCUCGCCUAUAAAAUGGGCUUAAUAGGGGCUAGGGCUAUAGCUCAGGGUUAGAGCGCUUGCCUAGCACAUGUGAGGCACUGGGUUUGAUCCUCAGCACCACAUAAAACUAAACAAAUAAAAGAAAGGCAUUCUGUCCAUCUACAACUAUAAUUUUUUUUUAAUGGGCUUAAUAGUUCCGACUCACACAGCAGAUCUUCAGGAGUCAUUAGUGACUGCUAUGUUCCUGAGGACCAGUGGCCCAGGCUUCUGGCUCCUGUCACAGGUCACCUGUCUCUGGGGCAGCUCAGGAAUUUCUCUCUUGCAUCUCAAGUCAACUCUCGUUUGCUUUCCUUUUCCUUCUCAUGUUUAUGUUCUUUUCCUAGCAGCCUCUCUGAGCCCCUCCCCUGUGCCUACAGCCCUUGCCAGGCCUGAGAGGCAGGUCCCUGCUGUGAGAAGCUGCUGAAUGUCCCCUGUAAUGAAAGCAGCUGGGACAGUCUGUUGAAUGCCACCAGAGACUGGCAGCUCCUUACCUCUCUGACAGUAUUGUUGCAGAAAUUGUAGGUGAAACCUCCCAGGUAUCCAUGAGCCCUAACUGGGAGGACCAGAAGGGAGACAGGUCCCCACGCAGUGGCUCUGUGUCUGAGGCAUCUGGUUUUGCUGGAGAAACCAUAAUAUUGUAAGAAUGUCCUGAGAACUUGGUGAGGUACUGAUUUCAGUCUUCAGGAAAAGAAUCGCUAGUGAUGGAUGCAUGCUUUUAGAAAACCAGAACCCUGUUUCCCCUUUCUGCUCACCGCCAUUCAGCAAUGCCAAGGCCAUGUGGGUGACCCCACCCACCUCCUAACAAGCCGGCCUCUGUCCUUGAGGACAACAGACAUGUGCUUUGGUUUUCUGGGUUUAAACCCCUCCGGCUGCCAAUAUCUGAAAACCCGGAUAAAAUAUGAGAAGAAAAGGAAUCACUGAAGUGACAAACAAAGCUACUGCAAAAAGUGGGCCACUGCAUCCAGGAGACUGAAGAGCAAGACCCAGGCACAGAGGCCUGCAGUCUCCCCAGGCCGCCUGCAGACUUUGCAGGGCCCAGUGUAAGAUGAAAAUGUGUGGCCUUGUUCAAAAAUGACAAGCAGGUCGGGAUGAUGGCAGACAGCAGUGAGCUGCGCUCAGGCCCUCCUGGGCCUGGGGCCCUGGGUGGCAGCGUAGGUGAAAAGCCCGAAGCCAGCCUGCCCCCUGCACCUGUUCAAGCCAAGUGCUGAGGCCAGGGAGACCGGCGGGCGUCCUCAUGGCUCCUGGAGGAGCCCUGAUGGUUCUCUCCUGCUUGUGGUUCCAUCGUGGAGGCCCCAUGUAACCUGGGACAUUCUGAAUCCUCACAAAAAAAGAAAACCAUCUUUCUUUCCGUUUUUCCUUUUCUUUUCCUUUUCUUUCUUUUUUUAGAAAACCAUCUGUCAAUCACCUUUGAAACCAUGCUGGGCCAGCCCUGGGAACCUCGGCCGUGUCCAGGAGCACAUAGUGAUAGUGUUUCAACGUCAGCGUCUGAGCGUCUUGUUGUGUGUGGUUGACCUUCUGCUAGUUCUCUAACUGUUGAGCACAGACCUUUGCUUUCCUUGGAAGAUCCUGUUCCCCAAUUGACUCCAACACCUGCUCGCGUUCCCCUGGAGGCUUUCCUCAACCAACCCCUCAUUACACGCACAGAUUCCUCCCGAGCAUUUUCAGUUUUCCCUUCUAGAAACAGCACUGGAAGGACAUGUGUGCGCAUUUGUUUCCUAAGGGAGAAAACCAUGCUUUGGUGCUGCUGCUGCUUCUGGGUAUGGGAGAACUUUUAGUUCCAGAAGUUUCUUAGACUUGUCAGUGGAAUCCCAUUUUGCCCAAGGACUUCGGUCUUGACUCUCUUAUGCAGUUCUAGGGCUGCAGCCCUGGCAUCUGUAACCGGCCUCUUUGUGGAUGAGGACCUGGGCUCCCCGAAUAGCAGCCCUGGCCCGGGACCUCCAUGUGGACCACAGGAGAUUCUGCUGCCCUUACUGUAAGGAGGACAUGUGAGUGAUCGCUAUGCAGAUUAGCCGUGUGUCCUGCCAGACCAUAGACAGGAUUGAGAGUCCAUGAGUAGCAAGAUGGGCUGCCUGGACCACCAAGCCUGUCAGGCUGGCGCUGGAAUGAGAUAGCACUUGGCAUGGUGCCCACUCACGGGCUGCCCUCAGUAAAUGAAGAGGACAAGGACGUGGGCAAGGGGGUAAGAACUCUGUGGAGGGUCUGCCCACCUGGCAAAGGCUCCUCAGGACAGGGAUGAGGUGUGCUGGCCCCACAUAGACUCCAGGCCUCCCCCAGUGCCACCCAUGCAGAUGAGCCCUGUGAGCCAGGGGCUGUGUGGAGGGCUGUGUCCAUGCACCAUGCUCCUCCUGCUGAGGCAUCUGGGCAUGUUGGGGGGAGGGAAGGCCCACUGGAGUCCUGGGCUGCCAUGGCAACCUGCUGUUGAUGUACCAGCUUGAGCGACGCAAAUUUCUCCUUUUCUUUUUCAAUAUGGUGCUGGGGAUGGAGCCCGGGCCUUUUCUGAUGCUAAGUGUGCUCUAUCCCACUGAGCUGCACCUCGGGCUCUGAGUGUGUGUUUGUUAAUUACUUAUUAGUUAGGGAGGUCAGAGUCUGACGCGGUCUCUCUGGGCUCAGAUCAAGGGGCCGGCAGGGCCCGCUCCCUCCUGAGGUUCCAGGUGGGAUCCGUUGUCCUGCUUCUCCUGGUUCGGUGCCGCCUGCAUUCGUCGGCUUUCGGCCCCCCCCCCAUCCUGGAGCCAGCUGCCGCUUCUCACUCGUCCUCUGACCACAGCUGGGAAAGGUCUCGUGCUUUUCAGGAUCCGCGUGGUUAUGAGGUCACCCCCUGAAGGGUGAGGGAAAUGGAGACCUCAGCCCUGCUCAGGGGCCAGGCCCAGGGUCCUCCAACAGAUGCCCACCCUCCUUUCCCACCUGGGGUGGAGGGUCUUCGCCUGGAGGGGCCCCCCCGCUUGAAGACGGCCCCAGCUCAGUGACAGGAGAAGGGAGGGAGGAGGGAGCUGCUGCCUGGGCAGGACCUCCGCAUGUUGGUGCUGCUGGCCUAGGCUUCCUUCUCCUCCUCCCCAGACCCCGUGGCCUACAAGGUUAGUUUUCUCGUCUCUCAGGUCAAAAGCUGAAGCUCUCAGAGGAGCCGCAGUGUCCAAGGAGGAGACUUGCUUCUACAGAGAACCCGUGAAACCUUGUGGUUGGCAGAAAAGUAGGUGUGACUGGCACUGUCCCAUGACAGGAGGGCAGAGGUGCCGAGAUGUCAAUGGUCCCCGAGAGUCCUGGGGCACAGGCCUAGGCACUCACUGAUGGGCAGCUGAGAAGUGUCUGGAAUCACAUCUGUGGUUGUAAAGCUGGAGAAACAGCCUCAGAAAGGGGUAUUCAUUUUCCCGAAGACACACAGCUACUGGAGAGCUCUUCUGCUCUGACCUUCCACCUUGCCCCUGUGUCCUUCCCUGCAGGUGCACCGCACGCUCUGGAUCUGUGGGGCAGUCUGGGGGGAGGCUGGAUGGUCUGUUGUUAGAGCGCUUAGCUGUCCCUCUGGAAAGAAUCUUUCUCUAACAUGAAGUCACACCUAGACAGGGGCCAGGCAGUGCACAGUGUGGUGGUUAAAAGCUCCUGCAUGUGGAGCUGGGCCAUUCUGAGCUCAAAUCCUGAUGCCACCACCUGGGGUGCUCUUUGGCAUAUUGCUGACCUCUCUGUACUUAGGUUUUCCCAUCUGCAAAAUGGGGAUGAGAUGUUACAAGACUCCAGAGGACCCCUGGGAGGCCCUUGCUGGCAACAGACCCUGCCCAGAGCCCUCCCCUCCCACACAGCACUGCACAUACCCAAGGGAAGAUGGACACCUUCCCACCCCCAGCAUGGCCACAAAGAUUCAGGCUGAUUUCUAAACAAACUGCUGACCACUGUCCUUGGGCCUCACCAGGUGCAGGGCUCAAUGUCCUGGAUCAAUCUGGACUUGUUCUGGGGCUGGGGAGCUUCCAGUUAGAAGCCUGACUGGUCCCCACUUCUGCCCAUCACCAGGCAAAGGAUCUACGACCUUGGACAGGCUCUGUCCAGCCAGGAGCUGCUCUUGCUCCCCAACAUCAUGAGGCAGGACCGUGAGCACCACUGCCCUUCCUGUUUUUAUAGGUGGGUCAACUGAGGCCCAGAGACCCUAGAAAACUUGCCCGAGGCUGCACCCUGGCAAGGACAGGGCUGGACCUUGGUGGUGGCUAGACUCCAAGCCCAGGGCUGCAUGGAACCGCCUGCUCCCUCCAGGGACACGGCCUUUCCUCUCUCACUUAUCCAGUAGCCCUUGGUUCUCUCCAGACAGGCGGCAGCUCCUCCUGCCACACUGGCAGGACAGGCCUGCUGCUCUCGGGACAGAGGGGCCGUGAGAUGGCCAUAGGAGGAGGGGACCUGCAGCUUGCUCACAGAGGGCAGGUGUGCAUGGCAAAGGCGGAGGCUGAGCAGCUGGAAGUGUCCCUCCGCAGGGGUUUGGGCCACAGCACACAUUUUGGCCUGGGUGUGGCGAGCUGCUCUGAAUAAGAAAAUGAGAGAAUUUUCCAAGAGCAGCAUUUGGAGCUGGGGUAGCCUUUGAUAUGGGAGGGUGGGCCAGGGCAUGCACCCAAGGCUGGAGCCCGAAGAGGGCACCGUCGGUCAGUGUCCCCCUGAGCUGUCUGUGCCACGGCCGCCGCCUUGGGCCUGGCACUGGAGGAGUUAAGCUGCAGCAGGCACCUUGGCAUGUCGCACUGGCCAGAGUGUCCAGCGCCCCACCCCCACUGCUUUUUUCCUUUUUGCCUUUUCCUUCUUAAUUAAUCAUAGGCUGCUGCCCAAUUUAAAUAUGGAAAUGCCCAGGCUGGGCCAUGGGAUUAUUCAUGAGGCCAGGCCGGCUGUCCGGGGCACUGGGGCUACGGGGAGCAUCCGCAUCUCCUCCUUUCUGAUGUGUGUGAAAUUAUGUGCACAAAAAGGCGCCUCCUUAUCUGGGUGUGUGAACUAAAUAAAUAAAUAAGGGCUUUUGUUUGUUUGCCGGCUCCUGCACAUGACUGUUUUGACUGAACCGCUCGUGUUGUCUGCGCCUUUAUGGGACUCGGGAGACGGGGAGACGG